rnacentral:lncRNA from 1 species
CACAGAUGACAACAAAAGUAUGUUCUAAUAAAAUUGUAUCCACAUGACGGAAAACGUGUGAAGGACGUGACGUUUGUAACUCCUCCCUAAACUGCCCAGCUUGAGAAGUUUCUAUUCUCCGCCAUAACUUCGUCACGGUCUUUGAUCGGACCUGCUUUCGGAGGAAACGUACGCUCCUGCUGGAUAUAAAGAUGCAAACCAACGUUGUCAAAGUGAAGUUUAGAGAAAUGAAGAAAUAUGUGUUUUCUUCAGAUCCUUUCACAUUUGAGACAUUUUUGGAAUGUGUUUCCAAGAAAUUUGAUCUUCCAACAAUGGACAUUAAAGUCUUUGAUGACACAAAGACAGAAGUUGACGAGGAAGCAUUUGAGCAUCUGCUGACAUGACCAGACAUUGGAGUCCUAGAAAUUGUCAUCCCAGCAAGUCUGGAUGAUACUUUAAGCUCAAGCUCACUAGGAGAAACUGAGUGCACAUCAGAGUCUGAUGACACAGCAAUGCUAAGCCCUCCACAAAAAAAACAAGCUAAAGACCGUCAUCUUGGCCAAGUAGGAGUUACACAUUUUGCCUCUGAUUUAAAUGUAUUUAUAUGAUGAUUAACAAGUGAAGAUAUUAAGCUAAAAUAUAUACUUCUCAGUUGUUAAUUUCUUGUAUUUGCUCAAAAUCACAUUCGCCCUCAAGAUGAUUUCAGGAUAUUCUUAGGAACAGCCCUGGAGUAGAGAAAGUCAUCAAUGAAUACUCUCGUACCAGAAGUCUGUCAGAUUCACGAAGAUGUGACAUGGUCAAAAUAUUAGUUGCGCAUUUGACAAAUGAACAUGGGUAAGUUUUUUAUAAGGUAAUUUAUAAAUAGAUGUUUAUGGUGUUUGUGUUAUAAUUGGUUUGUUUAUGUUUGUGUGUAGAACAAGACCUUCUCAACGUUUGAAGGAAGAAUAUGCAAAGGGAAUCAUCUCCCUAUUCCCACUUUUAGCUGACCCCAUGAGUAAGCGUGGUUAUGUAAGUAUUUGUUACUUGUCAGUCUUUUAAAUUACAGGAGGAGUAUAUACCUUUUUAUUACAAAGUAAACAUGAUCUAUUUUUAUAAUGAUCUAUGUAUAACUACUUGAUCUGUGUAUUGUUCUGGCUAUAGGAGCAUUAUUACAAUGCUGAAGAUGGAAGUGGAUACCUGGCUUGGAGAAUCAAAACAUUGCAGAAAUACACAUCUGGUGGGAGGUUGAAAAAGCCUCAAGAACCACAAACAGGUACUAGAUCUAGAGCUACAUGAUUCAUGGUUUUGUAGAUUUUUCAUUUUAGUUCAAAAUAUUUACCCCAGGUAAAUAUGACAUAAUACUAUUUCCUUCAAUCAAAUUUAAAGAAAUGUAAUGAAAAACAACAUAAUGUGUACAUAGGAGAGCAACACUGCAGCCAUCAAUCUAACUAAAUAAGGCAGGUGUGAAAGCACCUUUAAACUAAGCAUUCUAAAGCGUAUUUUACAAGCAAGGAUUCUUACACAGCAACUGUCUUUACAAAAGACGACAGAAGUUUUUAAUUUAAAUAAAAAUAAUGUCAGUAUUAUUAGCCUCCUUAAGAAAUAUUUACUUAAUAUUUUUAUAUACACAAAUCAGUUACAAAAUCAUUUGACUAAUUAUUUCAACUUUAACUGAUUAAGUCUAAAUUCCACUUUAAUCUGAACAAAUAACUAUAAAAUACUUAAAGGGACUUUGUCUGAAUACAACUGUCUUGCAAAAUUCGGUACCCAACCCUAGUUAUAAUAUGUUGGCUGUUGGUUAAAAUGUACAAUUUUGCAUAGACUUGGGCUAGUGGACUUAAAUAUACUUAAAUUACGAUUGUGUUUGU